rnacentral:rRNA from 1 species
UGGGCCGGCACGUUUACUUUGAACAAAUUAGAGUGCUAAAAGCAGGCCUCACGCCUGAAUAUUGUGUGCAUGGAAUAAUAGAAUAGGACCUCGGUUCUAUUUUGUUGGUUUUCGGAACCCCGAGGUAAUGAUUAAUAGGGACAGACGGGGGCAUUCGUACUGCGACGUUAGAGGUGAAAUUCUUGGAUCGUCGCAAGACGAACUACUGCGAAAGCAUUUGCCAAGGAUGUUUUCAUUGAUCAAGAACGAAGGAAGGGGGAUCGAAAACGAUUAGAUACCGUUGUAGUCUCUUCUGUAAACUAUGCCAAUUGGGGAUCGGC